rnacentral:rRNA from 1 species
CGGGCCCUACGGGGGGCAGCAGUGGGGAAUAUUGCACAAUGGGGGGAACCCUGAUGCAGCGACGCCGCGUGGGUGAAGGAGCACCUCGGUGCGUAAAGCCCUAUCGGCAGGGAAGAAAAGCGAACAGGUUCGCCUGGACGGUACCUGACUAAGAAGCCCCGGCUAACUACGUGCCAGCAGCCGCGGUAAUACGUAGGGGGCAAGCGUUAUCCGGAUUCACUGGGGGUAAAGGGAGCGUAGACGGCGACGCAAGUCUGGAGGGAAAGCCCGGGGCCCCACCCCGGGCCUGCUCUGGGAACUGCGGC